UCUUUCUUCGGCUAGUGGCCAACUUGAACAUCGACAUUGGCCAAACAGCUGGUGGUCAAGUACGACGGCCAUGCAGUCACAUCGAGUCAUAUCAAGUCGCAUCAUCCUGAGGUUGUACCCUAAGCGGUCUGCUCUGUAUCAUGAUAAGACACCGCAAAAUCAUUAAUUGUGUCACGUGUGCAUGAUAAGGCCCACAGUCGCGACCACCAGUGCAUCGGACAAAAGGUAUGCCCACUGACGAGACCAUUUAAGGAUG
rnacentral:lncRNA from 1 species